GAUGGUGCCUUCGUGUAAGAUUAUGAAAAUGGUUUUCUACCAUCGUGAUAACUUGUUUUUAAAGAAAAAAAUUUUCGUGUGGGAAACAGUUUUAAAAAGAGUUUUUCGAUUUUCAUGACUUUUAGUAUUUCAAAAUGAGUUUCCAUGUGGAAAACGUUUAAACUAAUAGAUGUGGUUUUAUGAUGAGAAAAUAUGGUAAACUUGUGAUUGAAUGAAUGUGAAUUGGUUUCUGUGAUGUGAUAAUUGUAUAUGGAUGUUUAUAUACUGUGGUUGUAUCUUUUACUUGUACGACGCCGUGCAAAUUAAAAUUAAAAUUUAUAAAUGUAAUGUUUACUGUUAAACUUAUAUUUUAAUUAACAAAUAAACUUAAAAAAGUGAAAUUUAAUCCCACAUACCAAAUAUGGACAAACAUAUUGGUCUAUUCCGAUUCCGAUUCCAGCAUGAAAAAGGUGCGAACCAAACA
rnacentral:lncRNA from 1 species